UUCCGUUCAGGCCUGUGCGAGAAAGACUCCCAGGCCCCUAGGUUCUCCAUAGCCUACACUUCCACUCGGCUCCGCUUCUCUUGCCCAGCUGUCUCUCCUCCAAGGAGCGGACAGGGCGGACACGAGACCCGGGUGCCCUUUUGUCCUCUAUUCCAGCUCUGGGCGGAUCCUCCUCCCAUGAUGUGGAUGAUGCUGAGGAGAAAGUGGGAAGACAGGUCUGAAGAAGCAAGGACUGGCAAGUCUGAUCCCCCACUCUGAUUCUCAUUGCUGAAUGUCUGGGUCUUCCUUGUGCACCUGCUGGGGUGGGAGACUGCUCGCAGCAUACCUGGCCUAUGACAUGCCUAGCUCUCUGGGGCGGAUCUUGGACAGGAAGCCUGUUGCUGCCAGAGUAAAGAAUAUGACGGAGCUCCUCAUCCGAUGGAGCCUCUGGGAAGAGGCGAAGAGCCAGCUGGAAGCCUGGUGGGCCUCCGCUGCCAGCAGGACAGAUGCAUCAAGUCAGGUUUAUGGGAGAAGUUUUCCCAGACCACUAUGUCCAAACUUCUGUCCAUCCUGCUAUAACCUCUCCAGUUAGAUGGAUGAAAACCAGACCAGUCAGCCAUGGACCAGAGCUGCAAAGAUAAGAACCCAAAGAAGAAACAAAUGGUGUAGCAUUAAGUAUUUCUUUCCACUUGAGCAGAAAAAUCGGAGACUAAGGGAACUGGAGGAGUGUGGCCUUUGAAUGAGACUUGAGGUGGUGAGACAGCAAGUGAACGUGGGGAUACUUGCUUAGAGCUUUGCUAGAAUACCUCAUGGUUUACUGGACCUAGGACCUUCUUGAUAUAGAAAUGACCAUAAAAAGAAAGCAGACAGAUUCCCAUGAAGAAAAAGUGACCUCUCCUCUGAAUUCCAUGCUUGGAAAAGUACUUAUUUAAAGGAAGGAAAAAAGUCUCCAAAGCAAAACCUGGCUUGUUUAGAUAACUUGGCCUAGGAACAUGGCGGAAGCUGAACCCAAGAACAUGCCUGCACAGUGCAACUUCUGGGUGGGAGUCAGUUGUUUUUUCUGAGUUCCCUGGACCUGAGAGUGUGACACUGAGACCAGGGGUGUGGAGAAAUCUAUCUCAUAUUUAUGAUAUGUGGUGGGAUCUUUACUGAGCAUUUCAACCCAUCCUGUAGUAAAGAGUGCUGAAUCAUGGUGGGUCACCCUUCUAGACUAGAGACAGCCUGGGUGGGUUCACUGGAACCAGCCAAAAUGGCCACAGGGCCAGCUUGGGUCUCCACUACAAAGGGCAGGUGAGGGGAGCAGGAGGUAGAACGUUCACAGGACAGGACGAUCAGGAGCAGAGAGUUGCUCUAAGAUACGAGCACCAGAUGGGGAAAUUUAACAGAGUGGACUGAAGGAAAAAUGGAAGAGGAUUUUAUAUUACAGCUGCUGUCAAUGGUUCUAACCUUGUAGAAAUCUAUAGGUAAAAAUAUUGUGAAAUUACAUAUGCCUUUUGUUUUCACUUAGUUUUUGAUUUCGCUUACUCUAAUUACUAGCUUUUCAAUUUAUGUUUAAAAAGCAGUUAUCAGAUUUUUAUUAAUUAAGAUAGAAGAAAUCUUUUCUUAUAGACUA
rnacentral:lncRNA from 1 species